UGGUUGCAUCGUCUUCUUUUCACACGAAGCCUCCUCCUCCCCUCGUCUGAGAUGAAAUACAUAUAAAUUAGAAGCGAUUGAGAGAGAGAGAACAAAAAAGAAAAGAAAAAGGAAUCGUGUGAACCUAUAGCUUCUUCCUGGUUCGCUUUCUUUUCUGUCUAAAUUCUAUUAUCUUCUUAGGGUUUCCAUUUCAUCUAUAAUUGCGAUCCAACCAUGCUGAUUUUUUCGAUCAGUCUGGUGGCAUCUCCGCAAUGAAAUUUUAGGGAUUUCCUUUGGGAAUGGACGAUGACGAGCUUGAUUUCUCGAACCAUGAAGUGUUCUCGACUCCAAACACGGGGGAAUUUCCUAGCAGUGGUUCAAUGGAUAGUUUCUUCAACGAGCUUCUGAAGGACACACAUGCAUGUACUCGCAAGUCGCACCCACACUUCUAACCCUUCUGGCCCUGAUUUUUCUCAUACACACAUGGUUUAACCAAGCUCACACACUCUCUUGUUCGUUCUUGCAUCUGUUAUGUUCGUUUUGAUCUUCACUCUGUUUUUGCAAAUAUGUUACUUAGAAGGUUCAAUUCUAUCCCAACAAUUUGAUUCUAGAGAGAAGCAGUAGCUAAAGUUUCAGAGAGAGCUCUAUUUCCGAUAAACUUUAUUUCAAGGCAGCUCAUGGGCAAUGGUUUCAGACUUUAUCAGAAGUUUGUAGAUUCUUUUCCGAUAUAUUUCUUUUAUUAGGCAUUCAAUGAAAAUUGUUUUUAUUUUCUGCAUCUAUCUAAUGAGAUAACUCAAUUCUCUAAUAAAGAAAAAUUAGUUAAAAAGGAAAUGUAUUGGUGCAUUUGGUGUCAUAUUCUAUAAUCAAAUCAUCUGCCCCAUGGAUUCUUUAAUUAUUUUCAUUAGAUUACAAUUUUUAUAUUUGAUAAAACUUAUUUUUAUUAGAUGGAAAAAGGAUUACAAAGAAAAAGAGGAUAAGAUAUUUUCCAUAAAGCAGCAUAAAAGAAAAAUUUGAAACUCAUUAACAAGGAUUCUUCAAUCAUUACACCAUUUUAAAGUAGGAUUUACCCUGUCUUUUUGAACUCAUUCUAUUUUAAUUGCAAUGGCUAGUUUGAAGGCUGUAUUCAGCUGAUAUGUCAUUAUCUGCUCCAUCAUGCUUAUAUAAGAGUAAAAAUCAUGCUUGCAUCAUUGCAUUAUUAUUUGAUGUUGUUUUCCAUCAUCUUUUGACAUUAAUCAACCCCUGAUUAUGUUAUAGACUGUGGCUUCUAUGAUGAGACACGAUAAAGAAGAAUUCAGCAAGGCCUUAGGGGCCCCAUUGUAUGCUAGAAUUCGUGAAGCUCUAUAUAGCAUUAGUGGAUUAAAGACUAUGGAUGAUGGAGAGCUUCAGGAAGUUGCAAGAAGUUUCCCAGCUGAAGAUCUUGUUGAAAGUAAGCAAGUGUAAGAAAGCUGUCAAAUAUGACAGAAAAGUUAACCAAAUCUUUGCUUGAUGGUGUUGGAAUAAUGAGUGGAUCAGUGAUGGCUCCUAUGGUUAAAUCCCAACCAGGACAAGCAUUCCUAAGGAUGCUCCCUGGUGAGGUGUUUUUGGCUUCUCUGGAUGCUGUCAACAAGGUUUUUGAAGCAGCUGAAGCUGCUGAAAAACAAACCCUUUCUGCCACCUCUCAAGCUGCAACCAGAAUGGUUUCUAACAGGUUUAUAUUGUAAUCACUACUUGCAAAUGCUAGCUCAAAUUGGGAGGGGUCACUAUGAUGCGGCUUUUGAAUUAGGUCAGCAUCUUUCCUCGCCCAUUCAGCCUAAUGUUGCAGCUUGAAGUUAGCGCAGAUUUGAGGCUAAAAUAAAAAGAUUUCUUGUUUUGUAAUUUGUCUUGAAGUGUUUGUAAGUGCUAAUCAGUGUGUAGGCAGAUUUAGGCUUAAAAUAAAUUUUUUUUUUUUAAUUUUUAACACAUUUGUGGGGGUCUGGAGCCUCCAAAAAAUAUUUUAACAAAUUAUGGCAUUGCACAUAAAACCUCCACAAAAUAUGUUGUGGCGUAGGUAAAACUAGAGGUCAUUGAGGAUGCCACAAAUGUACUUUGUAUUGGUCAAAGACCCCCACAAUAUGAAAAUAUGACCUCCACAAAAUGCCUGAAUUUUUGUAGUGGACCUAAAUGUUACGUUUUAAUUAUUUAAAUGUCACGCGAACAAUAUUUUUUAUCAGACUGUCAUAUGUCAUAAUUCGUUAUCACUGGUAGCGAAUUUCGUGGUCAAUAAUUUCGUGACACAUGGUCAUAUUGCAGAUCAAAUUCGCUACCACUUAUAGUAAAUUACGAUACGUCAAUUUUUUCCUGCGAAAGUGUGUCACGUGUCAUAAAAUUAUUGACGAACAUAAUUUGCUAUUAGUCGUAGCGAAUUAUACUUA